UACGUAGGGUGCGAGCGUUAAUCGGAAUUACUGGGCGUAAAGCGUGCGCAGGCGGUUCGUUGUGUCUGAUGUGAAAGCCCCGGGCUCAACCUGGGAAUGGCAUUGGAAACUGGCGAGCAGGAGUGUGGCAGAGGGGGGUGGAAUUCCGCGUGUAGCAGUGAAAUGCGUAGAGAUGCGGAGGAACACCGAUGGCGAAGGCAGCCCCCUGGGCCAACACUGACGCUCAGGCACGAAAGCGUGGGGAGCAAACAGG
rnacentral:rRNA from 1 species